rnacentral:rRNA from 1 species
ACGAAGAAGAGUUUGAUCCUGGCUCAGGAUGAACGCUAGCGACAGGCUUAACACAUGCAAGUCGAGGGGCAACGGGGGUAGCAAUACCUGCCGGCGACC